UACGAAGGGGGCUAGCGUUGCUCGGAAUUACUGGGCGUAAAGCGCACGUAGGCGGCUCUUUAAGUCGGGGGUGAAAUCCUGGAGCUCAACUCCAGAACUGCCUUCGAUACUGAAGAGCUUGAGUCCGGGAGAGGUGAGUGGAACUGCGAGUGUAGAGGUGAAAUGCGCAGAUAUCAGGAGGAACACCGAUUGCGAAGGCAGCUCGCUGGGACGUCACUGACGCUGAGACGCGAAAGCGUGGGGAGCAAACAGG
rnacentral:rRNA from 1 species